GCGGUAAUACGGAGGAUGCAAGCGUUAUCCGGAUUUAUUGGGUUUAAAGGGUGCGCAGGCGGAUUAGUAAGUCAGUGGUGAAAGCUCCCGGCUCAACCGGGAAAAUGCCAUUGAUACUGUUAAUCUUGAGUACAGUUGAGGUUGGCGGAAUGUAUCAUGUAACGGUGAAAUGCAUAGAUAUGAUACAGAACACCGAUAGCGAAGGCAGCUUACCAAACUGUAACUGACGCUCAUGCACGAAAGCGUGGGGAGCAAACAGGAUUAGAUACCCUGGUAGUCCACGCUGUAAACUAUGAUCACUCGCUGUUGGCGAUACACUGUCAGCGGCUUAGCGAAAGUGUUAAGUGAUCCACCUGGGGAGUACGAUCGCAAGGUUGAAACUCAAAGGAAUUGACGGGGGCCCGCACAAGCGGAGGAGCAUGUGGUUUAAUUCGAUGAUACGCGAGGAACCUUACCUGGGCUUAAAUGCAGAACGACCUCCCGAGAAAUCGGGACUUCCUUCGGGACGGACUGCAAGGUGCUGCAUGGUUGUCGUCAGCUCGUGCCGUGAGGUGUCGGGUUAAGUCCCAUAACGAGCGCAACCCUUAUCCUUAGUUGCCAACAGGUAAUGCUGGGAACUCUAAGGAAACUGCCUACGCAAGUAGUGAGGAAGGUGGGGAUGACGUCAAAUCAGCACGGCCCUUAUGUCCAGGGCUACACACGUGCUACAAUGGUCGGUACAGAGGGCAGCUACCUGGCAACAGGAUGCUAAUCUCGAAAGCCGAUCUCAGUUCGGAUUGGAGUCUGCAACUCGACUCCAUGAAGU
rnacentral:rRNA from 1 species